GGCAGCCGCUAGUAUUUUCUAGAGGAAAGUCCAUGCUCGCACGAUCUGCGAUGGUCGUAGUGUUUGUGCUGGUCCAAUCAAUAAGGCCAGGCACCAAUUGGUGACGGCGGAGAAAGAGCCUAAGGACAUUGUCUAUGGCCGAUUCCCUUAAGGUGUCACAGUGACGAAGUCUUAGUGGAAACAUUAAGAGUGGAACGAGAUAAACCCCGCAAGCGAGAAACCCAAAUUUGGUAGGGGAAUCAUCAAGAGCAAAAUGAAGUUCAAGAUGGGUGUAGCAAUACACAGAUAAAUGACUGCCACCUUGUUUUACAAGGAACAGAACAUGGCUUAU
rnacentral:RNase_P_RNA from 1 species